rnacentral:rRNA from 1 species
AAUGAACGUUGGCGGCGUGCUUAACACAUGCAAGUCGAGCGAGAAAGCUCCUUCGGGAGUGAGUACAGCGGCGGACGGGUGCAUAAUACGUAAGAAUCUUCCCUUUAGUGAAGAAUACCUUCGAGAAAUCGAAGUUAAUACUGCAUAAUCCCUUCGGGGGAAAGGUGGCUUUACGCUACCGCUGAAGGAUGAGCUUGCGCGCUAUUAGCUAGUUGGUGAGGUAAAGGCUCACCAAGGCGAUGAUGGCUAGGCGGCCUGAGAGGGUGUACGGCCACAUUGGGACUGAGACACGGCCCAGACUCCUACGGGAGGCGGCAGUGGGGAAUAUUGCGCAAUGGGCGAAAGCCUGACGCAGCGACGCCGCGUGGAGGAUGACGGUCUUCGGAUUGUAAACUCCUGUUAAACGGGAAGAAAAGCUGAUCUCUAAUAUAGAUCAGUUAUGACGGUACCGUUAGAGAAAGCACCGGCUAACUUCGUGCCAGCAGCCGCGGUAAUACGGA